AGCUUAUCAGUGAUGCUGUAAAAAUAAAUGUCUGAACAUAUGAGUUCAAUACUGAUUUCAGCACUUAACUGAGAUAAGCU